AAAAUUCAUAGGUUGUGCAUAUCUCAGUUGAGUUCUUCAGCUGUGAGGAAGCAGAGCAGCGAUCGAUAGCAAACACAUGCUCAGACCACCGUCUAACUGAGAGAGGAAGCGUCUGAAUGAAAGCAGAUGCAGUUACAUAACAGAUUCACUGCGGUUGCUUUCAGAAAUCAUCAGAAUGACAGACAACUGCUGUUUGACCUGAACGUCUGCGCUGUAGAUCAGCGUCAGCGGGGAAUGAAUCUAAGGCCGACUCUGAUGGAGGAAACACGUGUGCGCAUUUCUCUCAUAGUUCUUCUGUUGGCAUCAUGGGACACCGCUCUCAUUCCUGGAGAGAUUCAGAGCCGCGUCAUGAAGAGACGCUUUGUGCCACGAAUGCUGGGAAGAGACCGGGAACUACAUUCAUCUGCUGUUUACUCGCCAGGACACAGAAGAACCUCCGACACAGAACCUAGAGAAGAGGAACGCAUGAUGGAGAAAAACAAACCCGCAGCAGAGCGUCCGUCACGUGGUCAAACACAAAAACAGCCGCAGGAUUCCAGAUGUUUGGUUUAUUGAGGACACACACAUUAUCUAACGGAGCCACUGCUGCUCCUCUUCAACAAAGAGGUCAACAACAGUCAGCAUUUGCUCAUUAUUGACUCUCUCAUUCCAGACCACUUCCUCAUCCAAAAAACCAUUGUUUGUUAAUCAUUUUGGCAGUUCCCUCAAAAACGGAGGUGCAUAAGUUCAGCUCACUGAGGCCCGCGAUCAGUCAGCUCCAGAGAGAAUCACACGACCAGUUCCAGUCCAAUACCAUAAUAUUAACUCGCCUUUCCAGGACAAAGAAAACCCGGGUUCAAAAUGACCCGAGCACAUGAUGAAAUUAGCAUUCUCUAUAUGCUAUAAAAUAAUUUUAUUGUGAAUUAUUAUACCUUUAUAUGACAUUUCUUAUCAAAAUUCCAGUGGAAUGGCACAGUUCUCCAAUCACUGAGUGAGUUUAAACUCCGCCCCUUUCUUACAAUCCACGACUGAGAGCCACGCCCACAUCUUAACAUCCA
ensembl:lncRNA